rnacentral:lncRNA from 1 species
AGAAACUAUUUCCUGGGCUAAGACUCCAAGUCCAGGGCUCUUGUCCCCAGAGGACCUGUCUCCUAGAGCCAGAAAGGAAUUCUACAGUGAACACAGGGUUAAAGUAAACUCUUGCAGCUGAAAGUCUGGAAUUCUGGCUAACAAUACCUAAAUAUCUUUAGUCAGCACCAAAGUGGAAAUUGUGCACUAAUUGGAGUUCAGUGAUGCAGAUAAUAUGGAAUGGAGUACACGGGCUGACAGAAAAUUCUCUCCAGCAGCUGAGCUACUUUCACUACAUUUCAGCCCUAACAACAGAACCCAAAACAAAAAAAGAACACUUACCAUCUUUUACAACUAGUAUUCUAAAGAACAAGAGUUUGGGAACAUUUCUGAGCCUUGAGUACUGAAGUCAUUUCCUUAGAAGCGUGAACACAGAAGUAGUGAAGAUGGAGGGGAACUGGGACUAGGCAAAGGGGACCAGUCUCUCGGGUCUGGGCUAUUUGCUGAUCAUGUAAGUUCAAGUCCUCAGACAACUAAAAGGGGUCCAGGACCCAGAUCUCAGGCCGACAGCCUGCCCAGCUGCUCAUGGUAGAUAGAACUUACAGAAUGGUGCAACCAUAUAGUUUUCUCAAAAAGAUUUUUUUGUUGUAUUGAAUUAGGUACAGAAUGUCUGCAAGUAAUCAAACACACCUGAAGACCCUUCGAGAGAUAGGAAAAUAUCAAGAUCCAGAGCACAGCUUCCGGAGCCAUUCUGCCUGGAAUCAGGUCAUCAUUCCACACCUGACCCAGGGCUUCUUGAUUCACCUAGCUUCACAAGAGCCAAGAGGUAAUUAUAAAACUUUACUCUCCAUAUUUUUUCAGCUCUUUCUUUCUGUUUGUUUGCUCUUAUUUCUAUGGAGACCUGUUUUAUCCUACUACACACAUGGACACUCAUGGCUACCUUCAAAAGAAAGCCCAACUACCCCCAUCCUCUGCUAGGCCAGCACCCCACAAACAGUAGACUCACUCUCUGUGCUCAGUUGUAUCAGGGCCUGCCACCCCAGCCUCAGGAUCCCUGUAAGAAAUGGUACCUUCUGUUCCUUAAGGCUACCCCUUCCAUGUGUCUGCACAGUUCCUGGUCUCCACAAAGAGAAUGUGCUCCACAGGAGGAAAUACUGAGCAUGUGUGGUGCUGUGUCCUGAGGCUGGGUUCAUCCCAGGCACACUGAACACCAGGUCAAGACAGUAGACAGUGGCUAGACUCUGAGUCAUCAGUAGAGAGGGAGUUCUCCACUCUACCUGACUAGCUGGGCUUCCAUUGACUCAGGACCAGAGCAAGAUUCAGCACCCGGGUAAUAGGAUUUUACAACAGAUCUAUGGGUCAGCCACGGUGGCUGGUAACUGACAUCAGGUACAGAAAUAACUAGGAGACAUGGAAGGAUUUGCUUAUUUCCA